UGCAGAAUCCCGUGAACCAUCGAGUCUUUGAACGCAAGUUGCGCCUGAGGCCACUAGGCCUAGGGCACGCCUGCCUGGGCGUCACGC
rnacentral:rRNA from 1 species